rnacentral:sRNA from 1 species
GUGUACGUGAGCUCCAUUGAGUCUGGCC